rnacentral:rRNA from 1 species
UACGGAGGGUGCAAGCGUUAUCCGGAUUCACUGGGUUUAAAGGGUGUGUAGGCGGUUAUUUAAGUCAGUGGUGAAAUCUCCGGGCUCAACCCGGAAACUGCCAUUGAUACUAUUUAUCUUGAAUACUGUUGAGGUAGGCGGAAUAUAUCAUGUAGCGGUGAAAUGCAUAGAUAUGAUAUAGAACACCGAUUGCGAAGGCAGCUUACUAAACAGUUAUUGACGCUGAGGCACGAAAGCGUGGGGAUCAAACAGG